rnacentral:rRNA from 1 species
GUGAACGCUGGCGGUAGGCCUAACACAUGCAAGUCGAACGGCAGCACAGUAAGAGCUUGCUCUUACGGGUGGCGAGUGGCGGACGGGUGAGGAAUACAUCGGAAUCUACUUUUUCGUGGGGGAUAACGUAGGGAAACUUACGCCAAUACCGCAUACGACCUACGGGUGAAAGCAGGGGAUCUUCGGACCUUGCGCGAUUGAAUGAGCCGAUGUCGGAUUAGCUAGUUGGCGGGGUAAAGGCCCACCAAGGCGACGAUCCGUAGCUGGUCUGAGAGGAUGAUCAGCCACACUGGAACUGAGACACGGUCCAGACUCCUACGGGAGGCAGCAGUGGGGAAUAUUGGACAAUGGGCGCAAGCCUGAUCCAGCCAUACCGCGUGGGUGAAGAAGGCCUUCGGGUUGUAAAGCCCUUUUGUUGGGAAAGAAAAGCAGCAGGUUAAUACCCCGCUGUUCUGACGGUACCCAAAGAAUAAGCACCGGCUAACUUCGUG